rnacentral:rRNA from 1 species
CAAAGGUUUGGUCCUGGCCUUCCUAUUAGUUAUUAACAGAAUUACACAUGCAAGCCUCCACAUCCCGGUGAAGAUGCCCUCUAAAUCCAUAAACGAUUAAAAGGAGCGGACAUCAGGCACACUAAAUAAGUAGCCCAUAACGCCUUGCUCAACCACACCCCCACGGGAUACAGCAGUGAUAAAAAUUAAGCCAUGAACGAAAGUUUGACUAAGCCAUGUUAAUAUUAAGAGUUGGUAAAUUUCGUGCCAGCCACCGCGGUCAUACGAUUAACCCAAAUUAAUAGGCUCACGGCGUAAAACGUGCUAAGGAUUACAAAACACUAAAGUUAAAAUUUAACCAGGCCGUAAAAAGCUACUGUUAAUAUAAAAUAUACCACGAAAGUGACUUUAUCAUCUCCAACAACACGAUAGCUGGGACCCAAACUGGGAUUAGAUACCCCACUAUGCCCAGCCCUAAACACAAACAAUUUACACAACAAAAU